AUUUACUAGUCUAUACCCGGAAGUAAUCAGGCACAGAGAGAGACAGCGCGAAUGUAAAGUUGUAUGGAUUACGAUGAAAAUAAGGAAAUGGACUCUUGACAAAGCAGUAACUACAGCAGACUAUUUUUAGAUGAGAAAGGAUCCAGUAAUGCUAUAUCAUUUCUGAUUUAAAAUUUUGCUUGGAAUUGCGGGACAAUGGCCAGGCAAGGUACAAUAGGCGGCGGUUAUACGACAGUUUUUCCAAGUUCAACAUCUUCAUCAAAGUAUGACGAUAAUGAGCCAGAGAUCCAGUGGAAGUCACACUGUAAGUAUGCUACAGUACAUGUACAUGAACUCAUAAAAGUUUACUUUCCACUUCAAAGCUAACUGAUGUGAAUAGAUUGAGAUAUAAAAGUUUAUGAUGGUCAUUUAUGAUACCAGCAGAAUUGAGAAAAGAAAGAGAAAGAAGAAAAGAAAAGAAAAUGGUAGUGAGAGAGAUCAAAGAGUGAAACUGUUAUGAGAGACAAAUGAAGAAGGGG